rnacentral:rRNA from 1 species
CCUACGGGCGGCUGCAGUGGGGAAUAUUGGACAAUGGGGGGAACCCUGAUCCAGCCAUGCCGCGUGUGUGAAGAAGGCCCUCGGGUUGUAAAGCACUUUCAGUGAGGAAGAACGCCUGGUGGUUAAUACCCAUCAGGAAAGACAUCACUCACAGAAGAAGCACCGGCUAACUCCGUGCCAGCAGCCGCGGUAAUACGGAGGGUGCGAGCGUUAAUCGGAAUUACUGGGCGUAAAGCGCGCGUAGGUGGCUUGAUAAGCCGGUUGUGAAAGCCCCGGGCUCAACCUGGGAACGGCAUCCGGAACUGUCAAGCUAGAGUGCAGGAGAGGAAGGUCGAAUUCCCGGUGUAGCGGUGAAAUGCGUAGAGAUCGGGAGGAAUACCAGUGGCGAAGGCGGCCUUCUGGACUGACACUGACACUGAGGUGCGAAAGCGUGGGUAGCAAACAGGAUUAGAUACCCUGGUAGUC